UCCCUGGUGGCUUAGUGGUAAAGAAUCUGCUUGCAAUGCAGGAGACCUGGGUUUGAUCCCUGAGUUGGGAA
rnacentral:tRNA from 1 species